GGCCAUCCUGGAACUCACUCUGUAAACCAGCUGUCCUCAAACUCACAGAGAUGCCUCCGCCUCUGCCUCCACCUCCACCUCCUGAACACUGGGAUUAAAGGUGUGUGACACCACUGCCCAGCAAAAUCACAGGUUUUUAAAACUAUUUCAUUGUGUCUCAGAAAAUAGCAGUAUAUUCUUUUCAGGUGUUUUAGAGGUAGAUAGCUCCUUUUUCUAGAAAGUAUCUCCAGGUCUUCAAGUGGAGUGAAUCAUAAUAGAAAAAAAAAAAAAAAGAAAGCAAAACAAAACAAACAAAAAUCCAAGCCACUAAUGAAGUGUUCAUUUUAGGAUUUCGUACAGGAUAAAAGCUCUGGGGCAGUGCUGCAUUGACAGCCUCCUGGAGCUUGUUAAAAUCAGAGUACUGGACAGACAAAACAAAAGCCAGUGUGGUGGUAGUGCACACAUUUCGGCCCAGCGCUCGGAAGCAGAGGCUGCUGGAUCACAAAUUUGAGGCUAACCUGGUUUACAGAGGGCGUUCCAGGACAGCAAGGACUAUACAGAGAAACCCUGUCUCAAAAAACCAAAAAUAAGUAAAUAAAUAAGGAUGUUGACUGAUAGAUUCAGAAAGGAAAAAUCCUAUAAAUUGGUGUAAAUUGCCACUGUUUUCUCUGCUUUCAGAUUAGUCAUUAAGUAAAUACUUAUAUAGGGGUCCUGAGCUGUGUGCUAAGUGUUGUGGCAUACAAAGGCAGUGUGGAGCUCUGGGCUGGCCUGCUGGGACUCUUCCUUGUACUUGACAACUGUGUGGGACAAAAGUGCAUUCUUACAGGGAUCCUAAAGUGUUCAUUGGAGGGCACCUCCCUACUAAUGUGAGGAAUAACCCUGUAUGUUGUUCCCUGAGUUCAUCUCCACACCCACACGUAAUGCACUGCUUGCCUAUGAACAGAUGAAUGAAUGAAAUGCCAGCUCUGUUCAAAUGCUUUAAUGUAGCGCCUGUCUUCUUUUUUCUCUUUUACAAUUAAAAAAAAAAAUCAGUUGUAUGCUUAUGCAUGCUUUACCUGCGUGUAUGUCUGUGUACCAUAUGUAUGACUGGUGCCUGAGGAGGGCAGAAGAGGGCAUCCUAUCCUCUGGAACUGGAGUGAUAGGUAGUUGUGAGCCACUUGUGGCUGCUAGGAACUGAACCCAGGCCCUCUCUACAAGAGCAACAAGUGCUAACAGCCAAGCCAUCUGUCCAGCCCCUUUGUUUUCUUCAGAGACAAGGUCUCCUGUCACUAAGGCUGGCCUUGAAAUACUGGUCCUCUUGCCUCUCUCUGCCUCUUGAGUUGAGUGAUAAUCCCCCAAAGUGCCCGUGCCACUAUGCCCACUCUAAACUCUUAGUUAUUUACUUUGUGUGGGUCUGGGACUCAUACCUCGUGCUUCAAGAGUGCGGAGUAAGCACUCUACUCUGAGUCCUAUCACCAAGCUCCUCAGUACUUAAAACUCCCUGUUGUUGUUGCUGCUAUGUGUGUUUGCUUGAGAACAGGUCUCACCAGGUAGCUCUCAACCUCCCAGCUCUUUAUGAAGCCCUAGCUGCUCUCAAACAGGCUGGGAUCCUCUUGCCUCUGCUUGCCAGACGCCACUACACUUAGCUUUGGAAUGCUUCGCUUCUGCUAGCAGUUUCAGGCUAGCCAGGAUCAUCUCACCAACGGAGGAGAGACCACAGACAGAGUUGUUAGGCGGCAGAAUGACACUGGCUAAUGUUGAGGUGUGCUCAAGUCCUCUGCUGUUGUAAAAGGAAGAGCAGUUAAGAUCAUAAAAGCCAUUCCAGUAGUCAGGACCCGCGCCUGCCCUGGGCUAGGGUCUGGCUCGCAGUGCACCCUUCCCCUGAGUUAGAGCAGGAAGGGAGGCUGUGUGGGGGGAGUCUGAGCACCAUGCCUGACAGGAAUGAUGUCCUUGUGGUCAGUGGUUAAUGUACCUCGCUGCUUUACAAGAGUCCCGGCUUGCCUUCUUGGGGCAUAAUAACAUCCACUCUCCUGGGAACCCUUGCCCAGUGUCAUUGACUGGUCCCACCCUGGGUUCUGCUAGCCAGAUGACCAGUCUUUCCUAGUAGUGAUGCCAUUACAACACUGCCGUUCAGAGCCCAUCACCCAGUCUUUGGGGACGAGUGCAGAGCUAUCAGACACCAGCUACUAUAAUUAGAAAAGGGAAAGCAGGCGCUCACCGAGCUCACAUCUUAGGCUGGGGCAUUUACAGCACUUUUUUUAAAAAGUUGCAGCCUCUUCCUCAGUUUUGCUUCCUGAAAUACAAGCUGUACAGUUUUGGGGUUCUCACAUUUCAGUUUUUGUUACUGCUGUAUGCUCCCCACCCCCAUUUUAAUCGGAGAACAAAUUGCUGUCAGCACAUCGAGUUCAUGUGCCAGCCACAUUCAGAACAGGGUGUUCUGUGCUCUUCAAAACAAAAUUGCUCUAGGGCAGUAAGAGAACAAUAAGUCAGAGCUCAGUUUAAGUGAUGUCUGCAGUGACCAGACUCACUUGAUGUGCUUACACUCUGGAUUGCACAGCUGAACUUGGCUAGUUUGGUUUGCUUUGACUUUGUGGGGUUUGUUGGAGUACCCCCCUUACAGGUUACAUAGACUUUUAAGUCAAGAGAAAAUAUUGCCAGUUUUAAACUUGUUUGUUUCUCUUUACC
rnacentral:lncRNA from 1 species